rnacentral:rRNA from 1 species
GAGGUGGAGAUCAAAAAGGAACAUCAAGUGUUGAUGGUGAAUAAAACCACUAAGUUCAAGAAAGGCAAGGGUAAGAAGAAAUUCAAGAAGGACGACAAGGGAGUUGCCACGCCCGGUAAGCCAGUUGCCGGGAAGAAGCCAAGGAAUGGACCCAAGCCUGAGACUGAGUGCUUUUAUUGCAAGGAAAGUGGUCACUGGAAGCGUAACUGCCCCAAAUACUUAGCGGACAAGAAGGCCGGCAACACCAAAGGUAUAUGUGAUAUACAUGUAAUUGAUGUGUACCUUACCAGUACUCGUAGUAGCUCCUGGGUAUUUGAUACCGAUGCGGUUGCUCAUAUUUGUAACUCAAAACAGGAACUGCGGAAUAAGCGGAGACUGGCGAAGGACGAGGUGACGAUGCGCGUCGGGAAUGGUUCCAAGGUCGAUGUAAUCGCCGUCGGCACACUACCUCUGCAUUUACCUACGGGAUUAGUUUUAAACCUCAAUAAUUGCUAUUUAGUGCCAGCUUUGAGCAUGAACAUUGUAUCUGGAUCUCGUUUAAUUCGAGAUGGCUACUCAUUUAAAUCCGAG